AGGCGGAGGGAUACCAGCAGCUUGGGACCUUAUUGAUUCUCGGCAUAAACCACCAGAACAAAAGAACAGGCAUAGAUUCUGCAUAGGCGCAAAGAACAAUGGUUUUCUUUCUAAUCAGCAAGGGUUUCACCAUGACAACACCCCCAAAAUACAAUCUUCAGAAUCGGUACUCUAAAGAUAUGGCACAGUAGAAUAGAAAUAGCGUUUGUAUUUACUGUGAUUAUCGUAUAAAAGUGUUGUAAGAGAUAUGUACAAGAAGUAGAAUUAAAACACAAGUUCUUUUUAAAAAAAUAAACAUCGCUUUGGGUGUGUUUUAAGAUGAAGAAGAUUCAUUGUAAGAGUUGUUUAUAUUCAUAAGUUUUUGUAUGCGUAGAAUUAUAUACAUUAGUUAUUUCAAUAAAUUAUGCAUGCUUCCAUAGAACUGUGGCUUAGACUACGUCAAAUGAGAUUCUAAUCAUACUCGAGGCCUGAAAAAGAAACGAUUUACAGUUUUCUUUAUUGAUCUUAUUCUUGUUGAUACUAAUAUGAGAGAAUAUUGUUUUAUACAUGGUAAUUUUAGCCAGUGUUUCCUUAGUCUUUUGCCCACACAUAACAGUAUAUAUGUAUGAACAACUGCCUUAUUCUGAGAUUCACAAAGUAUAUAUUUAGGGAAAAUACAGUGCUUUUGAAUUUCUACAUUUCACUUUGUGUGUGUUAUAAAGCAUUAGAGAAUGCCUAUGAACUCAGCUGCUCUUGUUCACAUGUAAAACACGUCUGAGAUGCAGGCUUUGAUCAGAAUUUUCAUUACCAGAAGUAAAUAUUCCAUCCAUAGCCUGUGUGACUUAUUAGUCAAUGAUACAUUAAACAUGUGUUUUUUUUGAUCUAUAAUCAAUAAAUCUAUUCCAAAUAUACAGUAACAUUGCAGAAAUUUAGGCUUAAAACAAGGUGGCUUUCAUAACACAGGCAAGAGUGACUUUGGUGUUUUAACUCUGAUGUUUCACCGUAAAUUGUUUUCUCCAUUAGUAAAUAAACCUAUGAAUCUAUUUUAGGAUAUCAUGUGGAGUCUUUGUUCUGUUUUUGUUAAGGUUGUUACUAUUGCUCAUUACUUGAAAUAUCAAAAAAAUGCAAAGCAUCUUUAUUGUUUCCUAAAAAUAAUAUAAUAGUAUCAUAAACACAGACUACGUUGAAGUUUGUGUUGAUGUCGUAUCAACACAAAGAAUCUUUUUAGAUUCUUUCCUGGCCUCACCCCUGUCAUUUAUCUAGAAGCUUUAAAAUCUAAGUGUGUAUAUAAGCAUGUUUUACGACUCCAUGUGAAAGGAGUAAAUAUAAAGUCAGAACUUUUCUUUAAUCACAAAGAACUCUAUGUAUGUGUAUCUGUGAGCAUCACACAAGCUUGAUUCUAUUUAACAGAAGCUUUACACAGAUGAUCAGAGAGGAGUGUGUUUACUAACACCUGUUUUAUGAUAAUCAUAAACGAUAUGCAAGUGUUACUUCAUCAGUUGAAAUCCACAAUGAACUAGGGAAUAAUAGUAGUCAGCUAUGAUAGCAAAAAAUUUAAAUGUAAAGGUUUUCUGUUUAUGCUAUGAUAAUGAACAGUAGUAUAUAUUAACUUAGAUUUUAUAGGAGAAAAAAAUGCUAAAAUAAAUUUCACUUCUCCUGAACAUCACAUAUAUCAUAUAUGAUAUACAUCAUGUAUCUUGCAAUUUUGAACAUUCUCUGUGCAAAGCAUGUGUUGUGUGAGAAUACUACUCACAAACAAGUCUUAUGCUAUAAAGGUGUGUGUGUGUGUGUGUGUGUGUCUGUGUGUGUGUGUGUGUGUGUGUGUGUACAUCAGACUUUGUUUCAUAAGCUACUUUAUGUUGUGUGUGAAUGGAUGUGACUAUCUCUGCAUUUCUCUCUCAGCUGUCACCAGAUAAUGCAGUUCUGUGGAUUCAUAAUGUGACUUGGAAAACCAGAUCAUUCUAAGCUUAAAAUAAACAAAAAGAUAAACAACAAAGAGUGAGAAGAUGAUGUGGUUUGCAUACAAAACGCAGUGAUAUUAGCAAUCUGAUGGCUUCUGGAUUGGGAGAGCAGCCUGAGCCAGACGCAUACAUUAAGAGCUGUCUGCUGCCCAUGUGAGCUUGCUCAGUGUAUUGGAAAUGAGGGAUCACCUCUCCUCUGACACCAGCUUAUUUGUACAUUUUAAUUUUGAAGUAGCAAGUCACUGUUCCAAGUUCAUAGACUAACCCCUGCUUGUUUCUCUCUCUCUCUCUCUCUCUCUCUCUCUCUCUCUCUCUCUCUCUCUCUCUCUCUCUCUCUCUCUCUCUCUUAUUGUUUGCUAAAUUACUGUCAACUUCACAUUCUUUUUAGAAAUAAAAAUCAUUACUCAACUUAGCCAUUUACUGCACACUAAUGAAAUAGUAGUUUUCCUUUGUCUCCGUUGUGUGCCUCUAACAAUAUUGUGAUACCUGUGUUUUUAGGUUUAGAUCUCUUUCAAGGGGAACUGGACUUAUUUUUUUCUACAUGACAAUGUUUAAAGCAUUUUAGAAUCCAUAAAGGAGACCAUUUGGAAUUUUGCCAGAUCUUAAUAUGAUUAUAUUUUCCUUUAGGAUUCUCGAGAUCAAUAUCACUCUCAGUUUAAAAUUCCUAAACAUUUCAGUCUUCCACUGACACAACAGAAGCGUAGACAUAUUCUUAAGUCAUUUCAUAAUCUCCCAAGGAGGAAUCUCCCAAGGAGUAUCUCAGGGGAAUUACAGUAAAAAUUAAUUAUUAAUGAAAUUAGAAAAGGUGGGGCUUACCUUAAACUCAUCUUCAAAAUGGCAUGCUGGUACACGUGCUAACCUUGAACGAAUAUAUUUUAAAUAUGCAAAUGACCUUGCAAGCUGUCAUGUUUGGAUGAGUUUAUAGUAUAGCAACAUACAAAGGGGGGCUGAAGCUCAAGUUUCCUUGCCAUUUUCACAUGCAAUGCAGCCUCCUUGUUCAUAGGCAGCCAAGGAAGGCACAGUUUUGAUGCCUGGAUUCUUUUGUCUGAUUUGUUAGUAGACUUUUAAUUCAGUAUUCAAAUCCCACUGAUCCCUAAGUGACUGCAUCUGAAAAAAAGCAAGCAAGUUUCCAAAUAUAGAUGAGUUU
rnacentral:lncRNA from 1 species